UCGGGUGUGACUGCGUACCUUUUGUAUAAUGGGUCAGCGACUUAUAUUCUGUAGCAAGGUUAACCGUAUAGGGGAGCCGCAGGGAAACCGAGUCUUAACUGGGCGUUAAGUUGCAGGGUAUAGACCCGAAACCCGGUGAUCUAGCCAUGGGCAGGUUGAAGGUUGGGUAACACUAACUGGAGGACCGAACCGACUAAUGUUGAAAAAUUAGCGGAUGACUUGUGGCUGGGGGUGAAAGGCCAAUCAAACCGGGAGAUAGCUGGUUCUCCCCGAAAGCUAUUUAGGUAGCGCCUCGUGAAUUCAUCUUCGGGGGUAGAGCACUGUUUCGGCUAGGGGGUCAUCCCGACUUACCAACCCGAUGCAAACUACGAAUACCGAAGAAUGUUAUCACGGGAGACACACGGCGGGUGCUAACGUCCGUCGUGAAGAGGGAAACAACCCAGACCGCCAGCUAAGGUCCCAAAGUCACAGUUAAGUGGGAAACGAUGUGGGAAGGCACAGACAGCCAGGAUGUUGGCUUAGAAGCAGCCAUCAUUUAAAGAAAGCGUAAUAGCUCACUGGUCGAGUCGGCCUGCGCGGAAGAUGUAACGGGGCUAAACUGUGCACCGAAGCUGCGGCAGCGACACUAUGUGUUGUUGGGUAGGGGAGCGUUCUGUAAGCCUGCGAAGGUGGCCUGUGAGGGUUGCUGGAGGUAUCAGAAGUGCGAAUGCUGACAUAAGUAACGAUAAUGCGGGUGAAAAGCCCGCACGCCGGAAGACCAAGGGUUCCUGUCCAACGUUAAUCGGGGCAGGGUGAGUCGACCCCUAAGGCGAGGCCGAAAGGCGUAGUCGAUGGGAAACAGGUUAAUAUUCCUGUACUUGGUGUUACUGCGAAGGGGGGACGGAGAAGGCUAUGUUAGCCGGGCGACGGUUGUCCCGGUUUAAGCAUGUAGGCGGAGGUUCCAGGUAAAUCCGGUACCUUUUAACGCUGAGGUGUGAUGACGAGGCACUACGGUGCUGAAGUAACAAAUGCCCUGCUUCCAGGAAAAGCCUCUAAGCAUCAGGUAACAUUGAAUCGUACCCCAAACCGACACAGGUGGUCAGGUAGAGAAUACCAAGGCGCUUGAGAGAACUCGGGUGAAGGAACUAGGCAAAAUGGUGCCGUAACUUCGGGAGAAGGCACGCUGAUAUGUAGGUGAAGCCCCUGCGGGUGGAGCUGAAAUCAGUCGAAGAUACCAGCUGGCUGCAACUGUUUAUUAAAAACACAGCACUGUGCAAACACGAAAGUGGACGUAUACGGUGUGACGCCUGCCCGGUGCCGGAAGGUUAAUUGAUGGGGUUAUCCGUAAGGAGAAGCUC
rnacentral:rRNA from 1 species